rnacentral:rRNA from 1 species
AUUGAACGCUGGCGGCAUGCCUUACACAUGCAAGUCGAACGGCAGCACGGGAGCAAUCCUGGUGGCGAGUGGCGAACGGGUGAGUAAUAUAUCGGAACGUGCCCAGUCGUGGGGAUAACGUAGCGAAAGCUACGCUAAUACCGCAUACGAUCUACGGAUGAAAGCGGGGGAUCGCAAGACCUCGCGCGAUUGGAGCGGCCGAUAUCAGAUUAGGUAGUUGGUGAGGUAAGGGCUCACCAAGCCGACGAUCUGUAGCUGGUCUGAGAGGACGACCAGCCACACUGGGACUGAGACACGGCCCAGACUCCUACGGGAGGCAGCAGUGGGGAAUUUUGGACAAUGGGCGCAAGCCUGAUCCAGCAAUGCCGCGUGCAGGAUGAAGGCCUUC